rnacentral:rRNA from 1 species
AAUGAACGUUGGCGGCGUGGACUAGGCAUGCAAGUCGCGCGAGAAGUCAUUUAGCUUGCUAAAAGGCGGACAGCGGCGGAAGGGAGAGUAACGCGUGGUUAUGUACCCUCGAGACCGGGCUAGUGUCGGGAAACUGGCAGUAAUACCGGCUAACAUCUUCGGCUCAAAUGGUGUGAUUGCGCUAGAGGAGCGGACCGCGUACUAUUGGCUAGUUGGCGGGGUAAGGGCCCACCAAGGCUUAGAUGGUUACCGGGUGUGAGAGCAUGGCCCGGCUCACUGGGACUGAGACACUGCCCAGACAUCUACGGAUGGCUGCAGUCGAGAAUCUUCGGCAAUGGACGAAAGUCUGACCGAGCGACGCCGCGUGCGGGAUGAAGGCCCUCGGGUUGUAAACCGCUGUCAGUUAGGAGGAAAUCCAUGAGGGUACUCUCUCAUGGUUGACCUAUCCUCAGAGGAAGUACGGGCUAAGUUCGUGCCAGCAGCCGCCGUAAAAC